rnacentral:rRNA from 1 species
UACGGGGGGGGCAAGCGUUGUUCGGAAUUACUGGGCGUAAAGGGCUCGUAGGCGGUCUGUUGCGUCGGGAGUGAAAACUCAGGGCUUAACCCUGAGCCUGCUUCCGAUACGGGCAGACUAGAGGUAUGCAGGGGAGAACGGAAUUCCUGGUGUAGCGGUGAAAUGCGCAGAUAUCAGGAGGAACACCGGUGGCGAAGGCGGUUCUCUGGGCAUUACCUGACGCUGAGGAGCGAAAGUGUGGGGAGCGAACAGG